UGGGGAAUAUUGCACAAUGGGGGAAACCCUGAUGCAGCAACGCCGCGUGAAGGAUGAAGGUUUUCGGAUUGUAAACUUCUUUGAUGAGGGACGAAUAAUGACGGUACCUCAAAAACAAGCCACGGCUAACUACGUGCCAGCAGCCGCGGUAAUACGUAGGUGGCGAGCGUUGUCCGGAAUUACUGGGUGUAAAGGGCGUGUAGGCGGGAAGGUAAGUCAGAUGUGAAAUUCCAUGGCUCAACUGUGGCGCUGCAUCUGAAACUAUUUUUCUUGAGUGCUGGAGAGGAAAGCGGAAUUCCUAGUGUAGCGGUGAAAUGCGUAGAUAUUAGGAGGAACACCAGUGGCGAAGGCGGCUUUCUGGACAGUAACUGACGCUGAGGCGCGAAAGCGUGGGGAGCAAACAGG
rnacentral:rRNA from 2 species